rnacentral:snRNA from 1 species
CAAAGCUGUAUUGUGUUACCAUU